rnacentral:rRNA from 1 species
CAGCAGCCGCGGAAAUACGAAGGGUGCAAGCGUUAAUCGGAAUUACUGGGCGUAAAGCGUGCGUAGGCGGUUUGUUAAGUCUGCUGUGAAAUCCCCGGGCUCAACCUGGGAAUGGCAGUGGAUACUGGCAAGCUAGAGUGUGUCAGAGGAUGGUGGAAUUCCCGGUGUAGCGGUGAAAUGCGUAGAGAUCGGGAGGAACAUCAGUGGCGAAGGCGGCCAUCUGGGACAACACUGACGCUGAGGCACGAAAGCGUGGGGAGCAAACAGGAUUAGAUACCCCUGUAGUCCCUGUCUCUUAUAC